CAGCAGCCGCGGGAACACAGAGGGUGCGAGCGUUAAUCGGAUUUACUGGGCGUAAAGCGUGCGUAGGCGGCUUCUUAAGUCGGAUGUGAAAUCCCUGAGCUUAACUUAGGAAUCGCAUUCGAUACUGGGAAGCUAGAGUAUGGGAGAGGAUGGUAGAAUUCCAGGUGUAGCGGUGAAAUGCGUAGAGAUCUGGAGGAAUACCGAUGGCGAAGGCAGCCAUCUGGCCUAAUACUGACGCUGAGGUACGAAAGCAUGGGGAGCAAACAGGAUUAGAUACCCCCGUAGUCCCUGUCUCUUAUAA
rnacentral:rRNA from 1 species